UCAAUAUUGAGGUUUCCUAUGCAACAUUACAAGCCAGCCUUGGAAACAUGACAAUAACCGGAUAUGACACACCAGUUGCCUUGACGAUUAAAAACAACGGACACACCGCCCAAGUUGACGUCACCGGUGAUCAAUAUAUUUCGAAUGGCGGCCUUUCAGAACAAUAUAAACUUGCACAGUUUCACUUUCAUUGGGGAUCUGAUGACACGAAAGGUUCCGAACAUCAACUUAAUAGCAAAACCUAUCCCAUGGAAGUUCAUUUCGUCCAUUAUAAAAAUUCUCUAGGAAGUCUAGGAAGUUCUGUAA